GCUUGCAGGGGUGCCUGGGUCGGGGGCUGCAGGUGGGAGUGAGCAAAUGUGCUGUCUCGCCACCUCGGGACAGGUGGUAGGGCCUCUGACACAGAGUGGUCCUUCCUGCUGUUCACAGCUCAGCUCACCGUGGGCUGACCAUAGAUUCUCGUUGAAAUCCUAACGCCCCAGGCAAUGAUGUUAGGAGGCGGGGCUUCUGGGAGAUGGCAAGUUCGUGAGGCUGCAGCUCUGCUGGGGGAUCAGUGUCCUUCUACAAGCGGCUCCAGGGAGGUCCCUUGCCCCUUCCACCAUGUGAGGACCCGAGAUGGUGCCGUCUAUGAACCGGGAAGUGAGUCCUCUCCGGACGUGGAACAAGUUGGUGCCUUGAUUUUGAACUUGCAGCCUCCAGCUUCAUGGGGUUUAAGUACGAUGAUGCUGCAUUGAGACGUUGUACUGUGUGAAGUCAGGGCCUUCUGUGCAUCGGUCGAGGGUGCAAUGCACACGGCACCCCCGAGCAGCCACCCAUCCUCCCUUCCCUCCACCCUGCGAGGCCCCGUUGUCCGUCUGUCCACACUCUGCUCCAUGAGCACACGUGACUUAGCUUCGCCUUGUGAGCCGCUGCUUGGGGUGAGCAUGCUUCCUGCUGGAUGCUUCUCUAUGUAAGCACCUGCCUGAGUGUCAGCCCUCUUAAGGUGAACCGCUCCGUGUCAUUCGUACAUUCACAAGUUUGUGCCGCCAUCAUCGUGAUCGGAUUCCAAAACAUUUUCAUCACCUCCAAGAAAGCCUUGUACCUGGCAGCAGUCACUGUCUCUAUGGAUUUGCUUAUUCUGGACAUUUCAUAAAAAUAGAAUCAAACA
rnacentral:lncRNA from 1 species